rnacentral:tRNA from 1 species
GUGGUCUAGUGGUGAAGAUACCAGACUAAAAAGCAGGAGAUCAUGAGUUCAAGUCCCAUC